rnacentral:lncRNA from 1 species
GGGGGCUCAGCCUGGAUCCCAGGGCAUGGGUGGCUGGAGCGUAGCUUCCUCCCCCACACACUCCCACUGGUGCUAAUUUGCCCCACACCCCAGUUGGCAUUGUGACCAGAGAGACCCAUGGACUGUGGAGACUGAACUGCCCUGGGACCUCAGUAGUGGGUCUCAGUGGCUCAGAGCUGAGGCACAUCAAUGCAGGCUGGUGUGGGGGCUUCAUUCACAAGGGCUCCCUAGCCACCUCUUCUUGCCAACCAAUGCCAGGGAUGGGGCUGGCCCUUGGGUUAUGCUGAAGACAGGUUCCCACAUGAUUGGCUGAUUAUUUUUCCUCCCAACUCAAACAUCUGCUCUCCCUGCACCUGCCUCCAUGGAUGGGGCAGCUCCACUGAUUCAGCACUGGACAGGGGCAGCCAGGACUUGGCCAGGCCUCUGGGAAGCCACUUACAACAAAAGAGCUGCUGGAGGCUACUUCCCUUCCAGGUCAUCUAGCCCGCCCACCUCCCCAGAGUCAAGGCCAGAUUGUUUUCUAGUGUUUUCUCCAGCCUUGCAGGAAGGCUGGAUUGUCAACAGGAGUUCAAAUUCCCACUGAAUGGAAUUUGGGGGCCUAGUUCCCUGAAGUUCUUUUGAAAAUCCAAGCCUUAUGUGCCCUCUCCCUUGGGGAGAUAUUCCACAGCCUGAGAGAUCUCAUCAUUUUUCUUGAUUCUCAGCCCGUUUCCCCUUUCUGAAGGUCUGCUCUGACGCCUAGCCAAUGAAAGACUCCUAUUGACUUCAAGUGGGAGUUGGGUCAAGAUCUGAAUUUCAUCCCAUUUCUCCUUGUGAUACCUCCAGGCCUCCACUCCAAAUGACUCUCCCUCCUCAGUGUUUACAUUCUUCUGAUAUGUCUUGACAGUGACUAUCUAACCCAGGUAUUGGCCAGCCAGGUGAGACAUAACGAGCUAUUAAUCUCCCCUUUUAAAUCAAUCCCUCCAGCCCCUGUGGUCAUUUCUGUUGUUUCCUUAUGAAUUCCCUCACCCCAGCCAUAUGCAGAGGGACUAUCACGGGAUUGCAUAGGCGUAGCUGGGAGCAGAAUUUGGCGCCUUGAGUAGUCUAUGCCAAGAGCAUGUCUGAGUGGCCACCUCCUUUGUUUGCUAUGUUGAUAAGCUGCACAGGAUGCUGGCACUGUAUAAGCAAUCAUAAACAGAAACAAGACUGUAAAGGGCUAUGCAGUCCUUGAACCCUGAUCACUUGCACUUAUUAAAGAUCUGGCUAUCUGUCUCACAAUAGCAGAGUUCUGGCUAGAUUUCAGUUUGAGGAAGCACAUUCUGCCUCUCUAGAGUUCCUUCUCCAGUUUUAGGCAGAUGCAGGAUUUUGUCUUCAUUUCCUGUCCUGGACAGCAGCGUCGUACUGCUGUUUGGUGUUAUGCAACCUUCCCCUGUGUUCCAUCCCAGAGGUUGCUGGAUUUCAGCUGGAGGGUGUGUGAGUGAAAUGAUUCUUGUAAAACACUUUGGGCCAUUCAGCAUGGGAGGUGCUACAUAAUAAAAAAAAUAUAUUGCUGCCUAGGAAAUGUAAU